rnacentral:misc_RNA from 1 species
GAGUUGUCAGAUGAAGAAUCUGAUUAUGAACUUGAAUAUGAAAUCUUAUCUGCUGGCUCGGCUGAUCCCUGGGAUGACACAGAUGUAGGAUGGGUAUCUGCAGAUGCUACUGUUGUAACCACUGGAACCGAGGGAUCAGUUCCUAAUGGAAAAACCGAAAUCAGGUUAAUUAGAGGAGAAAUGCAACCCUCAUCUUCUACAUCUCAAUUGGAAGGAGAAAGUGACAGAAAAGAACUGCCCAGAGCGGAUGCAGAUGAUGGUGAUUCAGAGGAUGAUAAAGGAACAACAUAUGAUUUUGAGAAUUUGGAACAGUUAAUGUCCGAGAUUGGGAAUGUCCGAGACAGCUUAAGGUUAAUGCCAGACUUCCAAAGGAGGGAAAUGGCUGCAAAU